rnacentral:rRNA from 1 species
GACGAACGCUGGCGGCGUGCUUAACACAUGCAAGUCGAACGGAAAGGCCCUGCUUGCAGGGUGCUCGAGUGGCGAACGGGUGAGUAACACGUGGGUGAUCUGCCCCUUACUUUGGGAUAAGCCUGGGAAACUGGGUCUAAUACUGGAUAGGACCAUGCUGUAGGUGGUGUGGUGGAAAGAUUAGUUUCGGUAAGGGAUGAGCUCGCGGCCUAUCAGCUUGUUGGUGGGGUAAUGGCCUACCAAGGCGUCGACGGGUAGCCGGCCUGAGAGGGUGGACGGCCACAUUGGGACUGAGAUACGGCGCAGACUCCUACGGGAGGCAGCAGUGGGGAAUAUUGCACAAUGGGCGCAAGCCUGAUGCAGCGACGCCGCGUGGGGGAUGACGGCCUUCGGGUUGUAUACUCCUUUCGGCCAUGACGAAGCCCUUGUGGUGACGGUAGUGGUAGAAGAAGCACCGGCUAACUACGUG